rnacentral:rRNA from 1 species
UACGUAGGGUGCAAGCGUUGUCCGGAAUUAUUGGGCGUAAAGAGCUCGUAGGCGGUUUGUCGCGUCUGCCGUGAAAACUCAGGGCUUAACCCUGGACCUGCAGUGGGUACGGGCAGACUGGAGUGCGGUAGGGGAGAUCGGAAUUCCUGGUGUAGCGGUGAAAUGCGUAGAUAUCUGGAGGAACACCGGUGGCGAAGGCGGCAUCCUGGACCAACACUGACGCUGAGGAGCGAAAGCCAGGGGAGCAAACGGG